rnacentral:rRNA from 2 species
UACGAAGGGGGCUAGCGUUGCUCGGAAUUACUGGGCGUAAAGGGCGCGUAGGCGGACAGUUUAGUCAGAGGUGAAAGCCCAGGGCUCAACCUUGGAAUUGCCUUUGAUACUGGCUGUCUUGAGUUCGGGAGAGGUGAGUGGAAUGCCGAGUGUAGAGGUGAAAUUCGUAGAUAUUCGGCGGAACACCAGUGGCGAAGGCGACUCACUGGCCCGAUACUGACGCUGAGGCGCGAAAGCGUGGGGAGCAAAC